AUUAUAGGAUAGAAACAAACAUGAGUUCAGAUCGACUACUCAGGUUCAAAUAUUCCGGUUAUUUGCCUUCCAACAACCUACACGACUACCUACAGAUUUCAUCCUGUGUUUGGGCAUGGUCAUGUUUUGGUGCUUAAAUUAUGGUUUUACGAUGUGUUGGACAUAUUUUCCCCUCUUUUGCUUUUUGGUUUCUUCCUUGGUGUUGCAGACAGUUUGCUUGACUCCGGUGUGGUUGAAAGCAUUUAGAUAAAGUUUGUUCCUCAUCGCCAUAGUGUUGCUGUUGGUUUUUGCUGCUUUCUUUGUUUAGGACCAUUUUGCCCUUAUUUGCUUCUGUUGUUUCUUACUGCAGGUUGCCCUUGGAACCUUGACUUUGCACCAAACAGGUAAAUUUUCACCAUUUGUUUUGAAACUUUUCCCAAAAGAUCAGAAAGCUUCACAGCAUUGUGCACAAGUAUGCAUAUUAUUGAUGAAUAGGUUCACAAACUCCAUAAAAUACAACUGAAACAUAAGGUGGUGUGGUAACUUUAGAGAGUCCAAAUACCUGAAAUUGAUGAAAAACUUACACAUGGUGGGAAAAAAGCAAACAAAAUAUGAUAUUCACAAAUUUUCAUCAAUGGUCCUUAAACUCUCUGUAUUCUUCAAUUUUUUGAAAGUAUCAUAAAUAAUUUUUUUGUGGUCACAAGAGAGCUGAAGACAAAAGUUCAUUCAAAGCAGGAUAACGACUCUUCUUCCUCAUCCAGUUCAGAUGAUCCUAUAAACAAGAAAGGAAGUAAAAAUGGGAAGUUGAAAGUAGCCAUCUUCACCGAUGCAGGCUUGUAAUCUAACUAUCAGUAAUCUUGACAAAUAGGUUGAUCAUCUAAAUGCAACAUUUGAGGUAGAAUUAUGAAAGUUUUGAAAGGUGGAGCCUCUCCCAGAUGGAUCGGGUCACUUCUUUAAUCUUAUCCUCACACUCCUGGGCCAUGAACAAUUAUGCUUCUGGCUCUCAAACUGUUGCAGCCACUUUAGUCAUCAUAACAUGUCUAGCAAUCAAACGCUCUGCCCGACUGCAUAGAAGGUAAUAACAAAGAAUGAGGUCCACGAAAUGCAUUUUUAUACAAUCCAACUUUUUGAAGGGUAUAUUGGUCAUUUUCUUAUAUGUUUUCUCAUUCUCCUUCAUUUAUAGAUUCCAUUAGGUUUGAAGCUACAAGGGAGACCUGACAAAGGUCAAGGAGGAGGAAUUGGAGCAGUACCCACAACAGGAAGCAGUUGGACUGGUGCCGCCUUUAACUAAAUUUGGUUAAAAUAAAUUUGUACCCAACAUAUGUGUUUAAAAAGAGAAUAUAUCUCAAUUUGCUUCUACUUUACUUCAUUUUUUAAGCCUCAUACUUUCAUACUCAACUAAUUAUAGCAUCCUACUUACAUGACAAACGACUGAUAAACGAUGAAA